UACAGAGGUCUCAAGCGUUGUUCGGAUUCAUUGGGCGUAAAGGGUGCGUAGGUGGCGCUGUAAGUCGGGUGUGAAAUUUCGGAGCUUAACUCCGAAACUGCAUUCGAUACUGCGGUGCUUGAGGACUGGAGAGGAGACUGGAAUUUAUGGUGUAGCAGUGAAAUGCGUAGAGAUGCGGAGGAACACCGAUGGCGAAGGCAGCCCCCUGGGCUAACACUGACGCUCAGGCACGAAAGCGUGGGGAGCAAACAGG
rnacentral:rRNA from 1 species